GAAAUGCGAUAAGUAGUGUGAAUUGCAGAAUUCAGUGAAUCAUCGAAUCUUUGAACGCACAUUGCGCCCCUCGGUAUUCCGUGGGGCAUGCCUGUUCGAGCGUCAUCUACACCCUCAAGCUCUGCUUGGUGUUGGGCGUCUGUCCCGCCUCCUUCGCGCGCGGACUCGCCCCAAAUCCAUUGGCGGCGGCCCUUGCCUCCCUCUCGCGCAGCACAUUGCGCUUCUCGAGGCGCGGCGGACCGCGUCCAGCAAGCAACCGUCACACCGUCUUUGACCUCGGAUCAGGUAGGGAUACCCGCUGAACUUAAGU
rnacentral:misc_RNA from 1 species